AAUUUAAAGGUCGAACAGACCUAAUCAUUGGGCUCCUGCACCCAAAAUUUUUCUUAAUCCAACAUCGAGGUCGCAAUCUGCUUUGUCGAUAUGAGCUCUCAAAAACAAUUACGCUGUUAUCCCUAAGGUAACUUAAUCUUAUGAUCAUAAAUUAUGGAUCAAAAUAACAAACAUAAAUAAAUGAUAUAAUAAUGAAGAGUUUAUCUAUUCUUCAUGUCACCCCAACAAAACAUCAUCAUUAAAUAUAGAAAGACAAACAAAAAACUAUAUAAAAGUAAAAUGUCAAGCUCUAUAGGGUCUUCUCGUCCUAAAGAAGAAUUUAAGCCUUUUGACUCAAAAGUUAAAUUCAAAAAUUUAUUAAGAGAAAGUUGAUUU